CACACUUCUUACAGUAUGUCCCGAUUAGAGGACACAGACACCCCUCCGCUUACCUCCCCAUCUCCUCCCCCCCCCAACACUCCGGGGUAACUGAGUGUAAAUUGAUAAUCAACACACCCGACUGACUACAAUUUUGCCUAAGUGUAAGACAGGACCAAUGAUGCUCAAUGCAUCUACUAAUACUUCACUCACCGUACUACCUUACAAUGCUUAGUCACUUGCCUAUGUUUAAGCAAAGGUCAACCACUCUCCCUUUACAGUAGCCCCAGACAUCUACUGGUAAACCUGAAAGCUAAGCUACCAUAAAAUCUUUA